rnacentral:rRNA from 1 species
CGGGGUGAGUAAUGUCUGGGAAACUGCCUGAUGGAGGGGGAUAACUACUGGAAACGGUAGCUAAUACCGCAUAACGUCGCAAGACCAAAGUGGGGGACCUUCGGGCCUCAUGCCAUCAGAUGUGCCCAGAUGGGAUUAGCUAGUAGGUGGGGUAACGGCUCACCUAGGCGACGAUCCCUAGCUGGUCUGAGAGGGUGACCAGCCACACUGGAACUGAGACACGGUCCAG